AAAGUUGUAACAAGGUUUCCGUAGGUGAACCUGCGGAAGGAUCAUUAACAAAUCCAUAUUUUAUGCCGCAAGGCGUAGAUAUAAAUUCGCUUGGCUGGCGCAAGCUGCCAAGUUGAAAAAGAUUAUGUAUGUGCUGUUGUCGCGAGAUGACGGUGCGUAAAUAAGUGUAUGUUGUGUAGACAAGUGUGUGUAAAAACAAAAAAUUAAUUGACAACUUUUAACAAUGGAUCUCUAGGCUCUU
rnacentral:misc_RNA from 1 species